CUAUUUAUUUCUGUUUUCCUCCAGGUUUAAGUUCCUUAUCACAGCUGAUAAAGUCCGCCCUUACUUCUUUGGUCUUGUGUGUUGCCACCUUUCCUCACACACUUGACUCUUCAGUAAUUUUAAUAUUCUUUAAAUUCCUUGAAUGUUCUAAGCUCUGUAGGCCUUUCAAGUGCUUCUGUCUACCUGGAAUAUUUAUUCCCCUUCUGUCCCCCUCAUCCUGCCCCUUUGUCAUGUGGAAUGUAACCUCAGAAGUUAGGUAGAAGUGUUCCUCUCCACUACUGUUCUCUAUCUUUUUGUUUUCUUAAGCUUGUUGGGCUUAACAAUUAAAUCUAUGGUUAUUUAAGUUUGUAGCUUCCCUCAUAUCAGGACAAUUCUUUCCGAGAAGACUUCUCCAAUAUUAACCUCUGCUCCUUCUUUCCCUCUCACAAACAGUUGAGAGUAUUUAACCUCAUCCCCAGUGAAGACAACACAAAGUCAUGCCCAGUUAUUGAAUAAACUUCAAGACUGGAAUUAAGUUGAUGUUUAUUCUCUUCAGGUCUACAGCAAUGCUACAUUGGUAUUCUGCAUCUUGUGAAUGAAAUGCUAAGUGCAACGACCUCCAAAUAACCUACAUACACAGUAGAGAAAUGAAGAAGAAAGAUCAAAAUAAGUGCAUUUGGCAUCCCACUUCUGCUACAAGGCAUCCUGACCAGUCCCCAACAAAAUGGAGAAGUGCAGCCUUGAUCCUGUACGCGAAUUUUGCGGUUGAGCCACUCAGAAACUCUGAGGAGGAUGCAUGACUAUUAGACCUGGGUGGAAAGAAAUUAUGUGAACAUUUGGAGCCAUUUCAUGUUAUGUUAUAAUAUUGCCCUGGUGCUUGAUGAAGAAAACACAACAUGUUUU
rnacentral:lncRNA from 1 species